rnacentral:rRNA from 1 species
CCAGGCUUGAACAGCGAGUGACCAUUCCCGAAAGGGAACUUCCGCAAGGACACUCGUAGAGGUGCUGCAUGGCUGUCGUCAGCUCGUGUCGUGAGAUGUUGGGUUAAGUCCCGCAACGAGCGCAACCCUUGUCUGCUGUUGCCAUCAGGUAAUGCUGGGCACUCUGCAGAGACUGCCGGUGAUAAACCGGAGGAAGGUGGGGAUGACGUCAAGUCAGCAUGGCCUUUAUGUCUGGGGCUACACACGUGCUACAAUGGCCGGUACAAACCGUCGCAAAACCGUAAGGUGGAGCUAAUCGGAUAAAGCCGGUCUCAGUUCGGAUUGUAGGCUGCAACUCGCCUGCAUGAAGUUGGAAUCGCUAGUAAUCGCGGAUCAGCACGCCGCGGUGAAUACGUUCCCGGGCCUUGUACACACCGCCCGUCACAUCACGAAAGCCGGUUGUACUAGAAGUCGCUACAUCAACCCGCAAGGGGGAGAGGCGCCUAAGGUAUGGUCGGUGAUUGGGGUG